rnacentral:rRNA from 1 species
GACGUAGGGCGCGAGCGUUGUCCGGAUUUAUUGGGCGUAAAGAGCUCGUAGGCGGCUUGUCGCGUCGUCUGUGAAAUCCCGCGGCUCAACCGCGGGUCUGCAGUCGAUACGGGCAGGCUAGAGUUCGGUAGGGGAGACUGGAAUUCCUGGUGUAGCGGUGAAAUGCGCAGAUAUCAGGAAGAACACCCGUGGCGAAAGCGGCUCUCUGGAACGGUACUGACGCUGAGACGCGAAAGCGUGGGGAGCGAACAGG